rnacentral:rRNA from 1 species
UACAGAGGUCUCGAGCGUUAGGCGGAAUCACUGGGCUUAAAGCGUGUGUAGGCGGAUCGUUAAGUGCCUUGUGAAAUCCCACGGCUCAACCGUGGAACUGCUUGGCAUACUGGCGGUCUUGAGCAACCUAGGGGCGAGCGGAACAAAUGGUGGAGCGGUGAAAUGCGUAGAUAUCGUGAGGAAGACCAGUGGCGAAGGCGGAUCUCUGGACAGCUCCUGACGCUGAGGCGCGAAGGCUAGGGGAGCAAACGGG